rnacentral:rRNA from 1 species
GUAAGGAAUAUUGGUCAAUGGACGAAAGUCUGAACCAGCCAUGCCGCGUGAAGGAUGAAGGCCCUCUGGGUUGUAAACUUCUUUUAUCUGGGACGAAAAAAGGGUAUUCUUACUCACUUGACGGUACCAGAGGAAUAAGCACCGGCUAACUCCGUGCCAGCAGCCGCGGUAAUACGGCGGGUGCAAGCGUUAUCCGGAUUCACUGGGUUUAAAGGGUGCGUAGGUGGGUAUUUAAGUCAGUGGUGUAAUGUCCGAGCUUAACUCGGAAACUGCCAUUGAUACUAUUUACCUUGAAUGCCCUGGAGGUAAGCGGAAUAUGUCAUGUAGCGGUGAAAUGCUUAGAUAUGACAUAGAACACCAAUUGCGAAGGCAGCUUACUACGGGGUGAUUGACACUGAGGCACGAAAGCGUAGGGAGCAAACAGGUUUAGAAACCCUUGUAGUCC